UAAUUCAAUACUGUAAAUGUUAAGAAAUGCGUAGUUUAUUCCAUGCGCGCUGUCUCUUUUUUCAUGAACGAUGCCCCAUUCACAAAUGAAUCACUCUUUUGAGUCGAUUCUGUUCAAAGACUAGAUCAAACAAGUUAGUAAAGCUGUCUAAAUUGAUUCGCGAAUCAGUUUGAAUGAUUUGUUCAGUUCCUGCACGCGCUGAAUCGUCUGAAGCGGUUUCUCACUCGGAGCGGAUGAAGUGGCAGUGGACCUACAGUCAAUUAAAAGCAAAUCUGCAAAUGCAUCCAAUUGUUUCCCAGCGAUGAAGACCUUUAUUAGUUGAGCUGCGUAUGCUGUCUGUGAACAAUUCCACAGCAGGCAAAAGACAUCGUUCGCCAUAUACAAAUGCCAAUCUCUGCCAUCUACUGGACUAGAGUGUGAAACGCAAAAAAACAAACAAAAAAAAGCUGAGUUUUGCCUUUGUAUGUGCUGUCAUGUGGCAUUUAUGGCUGAUGUGAUUGGCUCAGGAUGGGUAACUGAGUUCAAAGAUGUCUUCAUGUACUUCUGCCACUGAGAUGAAUAAAAAUGCUAACAGAUAGCUUUCUUCAGGUAUUAUAGAUCUAUUUUUUAAAUGUCAAGUUAAAAGUAAAAACGUUUUUCAACGUGUCCUGUGUAAUCAGCCUAUAAGCUUUGUUAUUGUUUACUUUUCAAAGGCAAUUAAUAUUCUGUUCAUGUCCUAAUGUUCUGGGUUUGGCUUUUAAUCUAUCUCGUAUGGAUUCUGUAGGGCUUAUUUAAAUCAAUAAAUGGCUGCAAUUAUACGUGAGAGCCGAUUGCAGUUGAUUCACACCUUCCCCUCUGGGCUAUAUUUUAUACAGCAUUCACUCAUUUAGUUUCAUUGUCUACAGAAAGCACACUGCUUUCCCUCACAUCAAAUGGCAUUUUCAUCUCAUUGCUGACAACAUCAGCACGGUGACUCCUGUGGGCCUGGCCACCGUUCUUCAAUGCAUAUUUCAUCCCAGAAAGAUUGUUGGCUGGUAAUCCAUUUUCCAUUUUUAUGGAUACACUUAAAAUCAGAUCACUAUUUGCAUGAGUUAUGAUAUGCCAUAAAAGCUGAAAAUCUCAUACAUACAAAAUGACACAAACAUCUGCUUUCACUAACAAACAAAACUCACAUCCAACCCAAACCAACCCCAGCUGGUCGAUCUGACAAAUAAGAUUUGAUUUGAGAAAUAGUUCAAUGUUUUUAUAUAUUGUGUUUUUUUUUUCAAUAGCUGUGUGCCAAUACAGACUGCUAUCAAACCUACUGAAGCAUGUGUCUCUAAUUAACCUCCAUUACCCUCUGUUUGUAAAGCUACUGCAUCUGUCAAAUCCUUAAAACAUGCUUCUCUUUGAUUGGACUCAACGUAAACCUUGAAUACAUCCA